UACGAAGGGGGCUAGCGUUGUUCGGAUUUACUGGGCGUAAAGCGCACGUAGGCGGAUCGUUAAGUCGGGGGUGAAAUCCUGGAGCUCAACUCCAGAACUGCCUUCGAUACUGGCGAUCUCGAGUUCGGGAGAGGUGGGUGGAACUGCGAGUGUAGAGGUGAAAUUCGUAGAUAUUCGCAAGAACACCAGUGGCGAAGGCGGCUCACUGGCCCGAUACUGACGCUGAGGUGCGAAAGCGUGGGGAGCAAACAGG
rnacentral:rRNA from 1 species